AGAUUAAGCCAUGCAUGUCUCAGUACAAGCCGCGUUAAGGUGAAACCGCGAAAGGCUCAUUAAAUCAGUUAUGGUUCCUUAGAUCGUACCCAAUCUUACUUGGAUAACUGUGGUAAUUCUAGAGCUAAUACAUGCAAACAGAGCUCCGACCGGAGACGGAAGGAGUGCUUUUAUUAGAUCAAAACCAAUCGGCGGCGGGUGCGCGCGCUUCCGCGCGCUCUCCCGUCCGCCGCUCGACCUGGUGACUCUGAAUAACUUUCUGCCGAUCGCACGGUCUCGCACCGGCGACGCAUCUUUCAAAUGUCUGCCUUAUCAACUGUCGAUGGUAGGUUCUGCGCCUACCAUGGUCGUAACGGGUAACGGGGAAUCAGGGUUCGAUUCCGGAGAGGGAGCCUGAGAAACGGCUACCACAUCCAAGGAAGGCAGCAGGCGCGCAAAUUACCCACUCCCGGCACGGGGAGGUAGUGACGAAAAAUAACGAUACGGGACUCAUCCGAGGCCCCGUAAUCGGAAUGAGUACACUUUAAAUCCUUUAACGAGGAUCGAUUGGAGGGCAAGUCUGGUGCCAGCAGCCGCGGUAAUUCCAGUUCCAAUAGCGUA
rnacentral:rRNA from 1 species